AUUGAACGCUGGCGGAAUGCUUUACACAUGCAAGUCGAACGGCAGCACGGGGGCAACCCUGGUGGCGAGUGGCGAACGGGUGAGUAAUACAUCGGAACGUGCCCAGUCGUGGGGGAUAACGUAGCGAAAGUUACGCUAAUACCGCAUACGAUCUACGGAGGAAAGCGGGGGACCGUAAGGCCUCGCGCGAUUGGAGCGGCAGAUGUCAGAUUAGGUAGUUGGUGAGGUAAAGGCUCCCCAAGCCGACGAUCUGUAGCUGGUUUGAGAGGACGACCAGCCACAGUGGGACUGAGACACGGCCCAAACGCCUACGGGAGGCAGCAGUGGGGAAUCUUGGACAAUGGGCGCAAGCCUGAUCCAGCCAUUCCGCGUGCAGGACGAAGGCCUUCGGGUUGUAAACUGCUUUUGUACGGAACGAAAAGGCUCUGGUUAAUACCUGGGGCUCAUGACGGUACCGUAAGAAUAAGCACCGGCUAACUACGUGCCAGCCGCCGCCGUAC
rnacentral:rRNA from 1 species